rnacentral:rRNA from 1 species
GACGAACGCUGGCGGCGUGCCUAAUACAUGCAAGUCGAGCGAAGUUUUUCUGGUGCUUGCACCGGAAAAACUUAGCGGCGAACGGGUGAGUAACACGUAAAGAACCUGCCUCAUAGACUGGGACAACUAUUGGAAACGAUAGCUAAUACCGGAUAACAGCAUUAACUGCAUGGUUGAUGUUUGAGAGUUGGUUUUGCUAACACUAUAAGAUGGCUUUGCGGUGCAUUAGCUAGUUGGUGGGGUAAAGGCCUACCAAGGCGACGAUGCAUAGCCGACCUGAGAGGGUGAUCGGCCACACUGGGACUGAGACACGGCCCAGACUCCUACGGGAGGCAGCAGUAGGGAAUCUUCCGCAAUGGGCGAAAGCCUGACGGAGCAACGCCGCGUGAGUGAAGAAGGAUUUCGGUUCGUAAAGCUCUGUUGUUAGGGAAGAAUGAUUAUGUAGUAACUAUACAUAGUAGAGACGGUACCUAACCAGAAAGCCACGGCUAACUACGUG